UACGUAGGGGGCAAGCGUUGUCCGGAAUCAUUGGGCGUAAAGCGCGUGUAGGCGGCCCGAUAAGUCCGCUGUGAAAGUCCAGGGCUCAACCCUGGGAUGCCGGUGGAUACUGUCGGGCUCGAGUCCGGAAGAGGAGUGUGGAAUUCCUGGUGUAGCGGUGAAAUGCGCAGAUAUCAGGAGGAACACCAAUUGCGAAGGCAGCUCGCUGGGACGUUACUGACGCUGAGACGCGAAAGCGUGGGGGAGCAAACAGG
rnacentral:rRNA from 1 species